UAGCAUAUCAAUAAGCGGAGGAAAAGAAACUAACAAGGAUUCCCCUAGUAACUGCGAGUGAAGCGGGAAGAGCUCAAAUUUAAAAUCUGGCGGUCUCAGGCCGUCCGAGUUGUAAACUGGAGAAGCGUUUUCCGCGCCGGACCGUGUACAAGUCUCUUGGAACAGAGCGUCGUAGAGGGUGAGAAUCCCGUCUUUGACACGGACUACCGGUGCUCUGUGAUACGCUCUCGAAGAGUCGAGUUGUUUGGGAAUGCAGCUCAAAAUGGGUGGUAAAUUCCAUCUAAAGCUAAAUAUUGGCGAGAGACCGAUAGCGAACAAGUACCGUGAGGGAAAGAUGAAAAGCACUUUGGAAAGAGAGUUAAACAGUACGUGAAAUUGUUGAAAGGGAAACGCUUGAAGUCAGUCACGUCCGCCGGGACUCAGCCUUGCCUUCCGCAUGGUGUACUUUCCGGUAGACGGGCCAGCAUCGAUUUUGAACGCCGGAAAAAGGUGGGGGGAAUGUGGCACCUCCGGGUGUGUUAUAGCCCCUUGUCAUAUACGGUGGUCGGGAUCGAGGACCGCAGCCUUCGGGCUUAGGAUGCUGGCAUAAUGGCUUUAAACGACCCGUCUUGAAACACGGACCAAGGAGUCUAACAUGCCCGCGAGUGUUUGGGUGGAAAACCCGAGCGCGCAAUGAAAGUGAAAGUUGAGACCUCUGUCGCGGAGGGCAUCGACGCCCGGACCUGAACCACGGUGACGGAUCUGCGGUAGAGCGUGUAUGUUGGGACCCGAAAGAUGGUGAACUAUGCCUGAAUAGGGUGAAGCCAGAGGAAACUCUGGUGGAGGCUCGUAGCGAUUCUGACGUGCAAAUCGAUCGUCAAAUUUGGGUAUAGGGGCGAAAGACUAAUCGAACCAUCUAGUAGCUGGUUCCUGCCGA
rnacentral:rRNA from 1 species